GUAUUACAAAAUGACUAAAUAACCAAGCUCCAAAGAUCAGUACAGAAGCCACUGGCAUAGCAUGGACAUCAAGUACCUGGCAACCCAACUCAAUUCACUAAGCCUUAUCCCAACAACUUGGGGUUUCCUACACAAAUCAAGUUAGAAGCCACCUUUCUCUGA